rnacentral:rRNA from 1 species
GGGCAGCAGUGAGGAAUUUUGCGCAAUGGGCGAAAGCCUGACGCAGCAACGCCGCGUGAUCGAUUGAAGCUUUGAGGAGUGUAAAGGUCUGUCGCGAGAGAAGAAAUGGUCCGACGAAAAUAUUUUCGGAUUUUGACGGUAUCUCGUGAGAAAGCUCCGGCUAACUCCGUGCCAGCAGCCGCGGUAAUACGGGGGGAGCAAGCGUUGUCCGGAAUCACUGGGCGUAAAGGGCACGUAGGCGGCUUUGUAAGUUUCUGGUGAAAUACUUCUGCUCAACAGAAGAAUUGCCAGAAAAACUACAAGGAUUGAGUUCGGGAGAGGGAAGCGGAAUUCCUGGUGUAGCGGUGAAAUGCGUAGAUAUCAGGAAGAACACCGGUGGCGAAGGCGGCUUCCUAGCCUGAAACUGACGCUCAUGUGCGAAAGCGUGGGUAGCGAACAGGAUUAGAUACCCUAGUAGUC